rnacentral:misc_RNA from 1 species
AAGUCGUAACAAGGUUUCCGUAGGUGAACCUGCGGAAGGAUCAUUACAAAUAAAGCCGGUAGGAGGUGGGGUCUUGAUCUGUAAGUGAUAGAGCGAACAGCUCGGCUGCCUCCCGAAAUGUCUUACAUGCCCCCACACCUGCAGGCAGGCAUAAUCAACCACUUGAUUAUCUACACUUGUUGCUUUGGGGUGCUCAAGUGCCCCAGAGGACCCAAAUCUCUUGCAUUUAGUGACGUCUGAGUACUACGUAAUAUUUAAAA